AAACAAUCACAACAUUGGAGUUUCAAGCGUGUAGUCAGGGCUCAUGGAUUCACGAUGAAUUCAAGUAUCAAGAUAUCAGAGCUAAGUGGAAGAGAUCAUGUGGAGGAGGAAGACGAAGAACAACAGGGGGACACGAAUGCGUAUACAGAUCUUAUGAAUAUGGAGUCAUGGUUACACUCCCAAAAAACUAGGGGGGACAGACCCUGUUG